CAACGGAUCUAUUGGCUCUCGCAUCGAUGAAGAACGCAGAGAAAUGCGAUAAGUAAUGUGAAUUGCAGAAUUCAGUGAAUCAUCGAAUCUUUGAACGCACCUUGCGCUCCUUGGUAUUCCGAGGAGCAUGCCUGUUUGAGUGUCA
rnacentral:rRNA from 1 species